rnacentral:rRNA from 1 species
UAAGGUUUUCUAAUAAAUUAUGUUUUUAUCAGAUAUGACAGAAUCUUUUUUAAAAUCUCUUCAAUAUGCUUUUAUUGCUUUUGAGAGGUUUUGUUACUUUGAGUAAAAUUAAGUGUUCAUAACAGACGGGUAGUCAUGAUUGAGUUCAUUGUGU